rnacentral:rRNA from 1 species
UACGGGGGGGGCAAGCGUUGUUCGGAAUUACUGGGCGUAAAGGGUUCGUAGGUGGCCAACUAAGUCAGACGUGAAAUCCCUCAGCUUAACUGGGGAACUGCGUCUGAGACUGGAUGGCUUGAGUGCAGGAGAGGAACGCGGAAUUCCAGGUGUAGCGGUGAAAUGCGUAGAUAUCUGGAGGAACACCGGUGGCGAAGGCGGCGUUCUGGACUGCAACUGACACUGAGGCGCGAAAGCUAGGGGAGCGAACGGG